CCUACGGGGGGCAGCAGUGGGGAAUAUUGGACAAUGGGGGGAACCCUGAUCCAGCCAUGCCGCGUGUGUGAAGAAGGCCCUCAGGUUGUAAAGCACUUUCAGUGAGGAAGAACGCCUGGUGGUUAAUACCCAUCAGGAAAGACAUCACUCACAGAAGAAGCACCGGCUAACUCCGUGCCAGCAGCCGCGGUAAUACGGAGGGUGCGAGCGUUAAUCGGAAUUACUGGGCGUAAAGCGCGCGUAGGUGGCUUGAUAAGCCGGUUGUGAAAGCCCCGGGCUCAACCUGGGAACGGCAUCCGGAACUGUCAAGCUAGAGUGCAGGAGAGGAAGGUAGAAUUCCCGGUGUAGCGGUGAAAUGCGUAGAGAUCGGGAGGAAUACCAGUGGCGAAGGCGGCCUUCUGGACUGACACUGACACUGAGGUGCGAAAGCGUGGGUAGCAAACAGGAUUAGAUACCCGUGUAGUC
rnacentral:rRNA from 1 species